AGAGUUUGAUCAUGGCUCAGAUUGAACGCUGGCGGCGUGCCUAACACAUGCAAGUCGAGCGGUAACAGGUGUAGCAAUACAUGCUGACGAGCGGCGAACGGGUGAGUAAUGCUUUGGAAUCUUCCCAGUAGUGGGGAAUAACCAGUCGAAAGAUUGGCUAAUACCGCAUACGUCUGUAAAGGGAAAGCGGGGGCUCGUAAGACCUCGCGCUAUUGGAUGAGCCAAAGUCGGAUUAGCUAGUUGGUGGGGUAAUGGCCUACCAAGGCGACAAUCCGUAGCUGGUCUGAGAGGACGACCAGCCACACCGGAACUGAGACACGGUCCGGACUCCUACGGGAGGCAGCAGUGGGGAAUAUUGGACAAUGGGGGAAACCCUGAUCCAGCGACGCCGCGUGUGUGAAGAAGGCUUGCGGGUUGUAAAGCACUUUUAGUGGGGACAAAAAGCUACGGAUUAAUACUCUGUGGUCUUGAUUUAACCCAAAGAAAAAGCACCGGCUAACUCUGUGCCAGCAGCCGCGGUAAUACAGAGGGUGCGAGCGUUAAUCGGAACUACUGGGCGUAAAGCGCGCGUAGACGGUUUUGUAAGUCAGAUGUGAAAUCCCUGGGCUCAACCUGGGAACUGCAUUUGAGACUGCAUGGCUAGAGUAUGGAAGAGGGAAGUGGAAUUUCCGGUGUAGCGGUGAAAUGCGUAGAUAUCGGAAGGAACACCAGUGGCGAAAGCGACUUCCUGGUCCAAUACUGACGUUCAUGUGCGAAAGCGUGGGGAGCAAACAGGAUUAGAUACCCUAGUAGUCC
rnacentral:rRNA from 1 species